AGGGUUCGAUUCUGGCUCAGGAUGAACGCUAGCUACAGGCUUAACACAUGCAAGUCGAGGGGCAUCAUGGAGUUUGCUUGCAAACUCUGAUGGCGACCGGCGCACGGGUGAGUAACGCGUAUCCAACCUUCCCUAUAGUAGAGGAUAGCCCGGCGAAAGUCGGAUUAAUACUCUAUGUUUUCCGUUGCAGACAUCUAAGAUGGAACAAAGGCUUGCCGCUAUAGGAUGGGGGAUGCGUCUGAUUAGGUAGUCGGCGGGGUAACGGCCCACCGAGCCAUCGAUCAGUAGGGGUUCUGAGAGGAAGGUCCCCCACAUUGGAACUGAGACACGGUCCAAACUCCUACGGGAGGCAGCAGUGAGGAAUAUUGGUCAAUGGGCGAGAGCCUGAACCAGCCAAGUAGCGUGCAGGACGACGGCCCUAUGGGUUGUAAACUGCUUUUAUGCGGGGAUAAAGUUCACUACGUGUAGUGUUUUGUAGGUACCGCAUGAAUAAGGACCGGCUAAUUCCGUGCCAGCCGCGGC
rnacentral:rRNA from 1 species